GCUGACGAGUGGCGGACGGGUGAGUAAUGUCUGGGAAACUGCCUGAUGGAGGGGGAUAACUACUGGAAACGGUGGCUAAUACCGCAUAACGUCGCAAGACCAAAGAGGGGGACCUUCGGGCCUCUUGCCAUCAGAUGUGCCCAGAUGGGAUUAGCUUGUUGGUGAGGUAACGGCUCACCAAGGCGACGAUCCCUAGCUGGUCUGAGAGGAUGACCAGCCACACUGGAACUGAGACACGGUCCAGACUCCUACGGGAGGCAGCAGUGGGGAAUAUUGCACAAUGGGCGCAAGCCUGAUGCAGCCAUGCCGCGUGUAUGAAGAAGGCCUUCGGGUUGUAAAGUACUUUCAGCGGGGAGGAAGGUGUUGUGGUUAAUAACCGCAGCAAUUGACGUUACCCGCAGAAGAAGCACCGGCUAACUCCGUGCCAGCAGCCGCGGUAAUACGGAGGGUGCAAGCGUUAAUCGGAAUUACUGGGCGUAAAGCGCACGCAGGCGGUCUGUCAAGUCGGAUGUGAAAUCCCCGGGCUCAACCUGGGAACUGCAUUCGAAACUGGCAGGCUUGAGUCUUGUAGAGGGGGGUAGAAUUCCAGGUGUAGCGGUGAAAUGCGUAGAGAUCUGGAGGAAUACCGGUGGCGAAGGCGGCCCCCUGGACAAAGACUGACGCUCAGGUGCGAAAGCGUGGGGAGCAAACAGGAUUAGAUACCCUGGUAGUCCACGCCGUAAACGAUGUCUACUUGGAGGUUGUGCCCUUGAGGCGUGGCUUCCGGAGCUAACGCGUUAAGUAGACCGCCUGGGGAGUACGGCCGCAAGGUUAAAACUCAAAUGAAUUGACGGGGGCCCGCACAAGCGGUGGAGCAUGUGGUUUAAUUCGAUGCAACGCGAAGAACCUUACCUGGUCUUGACAUCCACAGAACUUUCCAGAGAUGGAUUGGUGCCUUCGGGAACUGUGAGACAGGUGCUGCAUGGCUGUCGUCAGCUCGUGUUGUGAAAUGUUGGGUUAAGUCCCGCAACGAGCGCAACCCUUAUCCUUUGUUGCCAGCGGUCCGGCCGGGAACUCAAAGGAGACUGCCAGUGAUAAACUGGAGGAAGGUGGGGAUGACGUCAAGUCAUCAUGGCCCUUACGACCAGGGCUACACACGUGCUACAAUGGCGCAUACAAAGAGAAGCGACCUCGCGAGAGCAAGCGGACCUCAUAAAGUGCGUCGUAGUCCGGAUUGGAGUCUGCAACUCGACUCCAUGAAGUCGGAAUCGCUAGUAAUCGUGGAUCAGAAUGCCACGGUGAAUACGUUCCCGGGCCUUGUACACACCGCCCGUCACACCAUGGGAGUGGGUUGCAAAAGAAGUAGGUAGCUUAACCUUCGGGAGGGCGCUUACCACUUUGUGAUUCAUGACUGGGGUGAAGUCGUAACAAGGUAACCGUAGGGGAACCUGCGGUUG
rnacentral:rRNA from 1 species